CGGCUCUGGAGAACCCCGUUUUGUCGGGUGCCGAAGGUGCAAGGCGGUAAAACCGCUAAUCUCUCAGGCAAAAGGACGGAGCAGAAA
rnacentral:ncRNA from 1 species